rnacentral:rRNA from 1 species
CCCUUAGAUGUUCUGGGCUGCACGCGUGUUACAAUCGGGAGUACAACAAGAUUGCAAAUCCUAGUGGAUGAGUGGUCCUUCGAAAUUUUCUGAAGACUGGGAUAGUUGAUUGAAAUUAUUCAACUCGAACGAGGAAUUCCUUGUAAUUGUAAUUCAUUAUAUUGUAAUGAAUACGUCCCUGCCCUUUGUACACACCGCCCGUCGCUCCUACCGAUUGAACGAUCCGGUGAAUUAUUUGGAGUAGCUCUGGAAGUUGCAGAACUUCCUAUGUCACGAAAUUUUGUAAACCUUAUCGUUUAGAGGAAGGAAAAGUCGUAACA